GUGCCAGCCGCCGCGGUAAUACGCAGGGGGCUAGCGUUGCUCGGAAUUACUGGGCGUAAAGGGAGCGUAGGCGGGUUGACAAGUUGGAGGUGAAAGCCCAGGGCUCAACCCUGGAAUUGCCUUCAAAACUGUCAGCCUCGAGUAUGGAAGAGGUAAGUGGAACUCCGAGUGUAGAGGUGAAAUUCGUAGAUAUUCGGAAGAACACCAGUGGCGAAGGCGACUUACUGGUCCAUGACUGACGCUGAGGCUCGAAAGCGUGGGGAGCAAACAGGAUUAGAAACCCGGGUAGCC
rnacentral:rRNA from 1 species